GGUAAUCUGCCCUCGAGUAAGGAAUAACGCGGGGAAACUCGCGCUAAUACCGGAUACGUCCUUCGGGUCCUUGGGCCUGGAGGAGAAAGAUGGCCUCUCCAUGGAAGCUGUCGCUCGAGGAUGAGCCCGCGUCCCAUUAGCUAGUUGGUGGGGUAAUGGCCCACCAAGGCUCAGAUGGGUAGCUGGUCUGAGAGGAUGACCAGCCACACUGGAACUGAGACACGGUCCAGACUCCUACGGGAGGCAGCAGUAGGGAAUUUUGCGCAAUGGGCGCAAGCCUGACGCAGCAACGCCGCGUGUGGGAUGAAGGCCUUCGGGUCGUAAACCACUGUCGGAGGGGACGAACGGCCUAGCGGUUAAUACCCGCGAGGCGUGACGGUACCCUCAAAGGAAGCACCGGCUAACUCCGUGCCAGCAGCCG
rnacentral:rRNA from 1 species